rnacentral:rRNA from 1 species
GACGAACGCUGGCGGCGUGCUUAACACAUGCAAGUCGAACGGAAAGGCCCUGCUUUUGUGGGGUGCUCGAGUGGCGAACGGGUGAGUAACACGUGAGUAACCUGCCCUUGACUUUGGGAUAACUUCAGGAAACUGGGGCUAAUACCGGGUAGGAGCUCCUGCUGCAUGGUGGGGGUUGGAAAGUUUCGGCGGUUGGGGAUGGACUCGCGGCUUAUCAGCUUGUUGGUGGGGUAGUGGCUUACCAAGGCUUUGACGGGUAGCCGGCCUGAGAGGGUGACCGGCCACAUUGGGACUGAGAUACGGCCCAGACUCCUACGGGAGGCAGCAGUGGGGAAUAUUGCACAAUGGGCGGAAGCCUGAUGCAGCAGCGCCGCGUGCGGGAUGACGGCCUUCGGGUUGUAAACCGCUUUCGCCUGUGACGAAGCGUGAGUGACGGUAAUGGGUAAAGAAGCACCGGCUAACUACGUG